rnacentral:tRNA from 1 species
UGCGGGGUGGAGCAGUGGUAGCUCGCCAGGCUCAUAACCUGAAGGCCGUAGGUUCGAUUCCUACCCCCGCUACCA